GACGAACGCUGGCGGCGCGCUUAACACAUGCAAGUCGAACGGAAAGGCCCUGCUGUUGUGUGUCUCUCGAGUGGCGAACGGGUGAGUAACACGCGAGUAACCUGCCCUUGACUUUGGGAUAACUUCAGGAAACUGGGGCUAAUACCGGAUAGGAGCUCCUGCUGCAUGGUGGGGGUUGGAAAGUUUGGGCGGUUGGGGAUGGACUCGCGGCGCAUCCGCUUGUUGGUGGGGUAGUGGCUUACCAAGGCUUUGCCGGGUAGCCGGACUGUGAGGGUGAGCGGGCACAGUCGGACUGAGAUAGGGCCAAGACUCCUACGGGAAGGAGAAGUAGGGAAUGUUGAAAAAUGGGAGGAAGCCUGAUGCAGAAACGCCGCGUGCGGGAGGACGGCCUUGGGGUUGUAAACCGAUUUCGCCUGUGACGAAGCGUAAGUGAACGUAAUGGGUCAAGAAGGACCGGCUAAACACGUGC
rnacentral:rRNA from 1 species